GUUGUAUCCAUGCGAUAUUCAGUUUCAAAGAGUUGUUAACAGUGUUUGUGUGCCAAGAGUAAAUCGAUCAGUUUGUGUGUCCGCAUGCAAGUUUUAAAAGACGACUUAUACGUGGAUGUAAUCAGACAACCUUAGCUUUGGAUACAUAUUUCGCAAAACAACAAGCUUGAAGCAACACUGAAAUACAAAUAAACAUGGAAAUGAGUCAGGGUUUGGAUCCUGCUUCCGGCUCAGACAUUGACCAAGAAGUAGAAGCAUUGGAGAAACUGUUUACCUCCGUUCUACAGGAUGAUACUGUUAUCGGCCUAUUACAUGACAUAUUAGCAAAACCGAUUGUGUUCUAUCCAGAGGUUGAGAAUAAAAAUGGCACAAUUCACCAAAUUAUUACAGAAGAUGAACUCAUAAAAACUCUUAACCCACUUGAGGGAGUUAAUGAGCAAAUUAAAAAUGUUUGGGUUUACAAAGCUCGGCUUUCAAAACUCCAGCGGCUUAGUGUUAUAUUUUAUAAUGAGUUUCUUGUAUUCGAAACAGAAUGUUGGUGGUGGUCCAUAGAUAAUCACCAUGAUGCCAUUACAAUUCAGCGUAGCAAAAAAGCAACGUUAGUAAAAGAUUAUUUUAGAAAUAAAGAACGUUUAAAAGUUAAAGUCCGUUUGCACAAAAGCGCAUGUUCUUGGAGUAUUUACAGUCUUUUCAUCAGGAUAAAGGAUACUGGCGGGCUUCCUGAAAAAUACAGUGAGACAACAAGCUACUGCAAACACUUUGCUGAAGCAGUCUUCAACCAAGUA